rnacentral:rRNA from 1 species
UGCCUCAGUAACGGCGAGUGAAGCGGCAACAGCUCAAAUUUGAAAUCUGGCCCUUUCAGGGUCCGAGUUGUAAUUUGUAGAGGAUGCUUCGGCGAGGGCUCCCGUCUAAGUUCCCUGGAACGGGACGUCAUAGAGGGUGAGAAUCCCGUAUGUGAUGGGUUGCUCGAGCCAUGUGAAGCUCCUUCGACGAGUCGAGUUGUUUGGGAAUGCAGCUCUAAAUGGGAGGUAAAUUUCUUCUAAAGCUAAAUACCGGCCAGAGACCGAUAGCGCACAAGUAGAGUGAUCGAAAGAUGAAAAGCACUUUGGAAAGAGAGUUAAAAAGUACGUGAAAUUGUUGAAAGGGAAGCGCUUGCAACCAGACUUGUCCGCAGUUGUUCAGCCGGUCUCCUGACCGGCGUACUCUUCUGCGGCCAGGCCAGCAUCAGUUCGGGCGGCUGGAUAAAGGCCUCGGGAAUGUGGCUCUCUUCGGGGAGUGUUAUAGCCCGGGGCGGAAUGCAGCCAGCCUGGACUGAGGAUCUCGCUUCGGCAAGGAUGCUGGCGUAAUGGUUGUAAGCGGCCCGUCUUGAAACACGGACCAAGGAGUCUAACAUCUAUGCGAGUGUUUGGGUGUCAAACCCAUACGCGUAAUGAAAAGUGAACGGAGGUGGGAACCCGCAAGGGCGCACCAUCGACCGAUCCUGAUGUCUUCGGAUGGAUUUGAGUAAGAGCAUAGCUGUUGGGACCCGAAAGAUGGUGAACUAUGCCUGAAUAGGGUGAAGCCAGAGGAAACUCUGGUGGAGGCUCGCAGCG